GGGGUAAUAGCUCAGUUGUAGAGCGCCUGCUCAGCAUGCAUGGGCUCCUGGGUUCUACCCCCAGUACCUCCC
rnacentral:tRNA from 1 species